GACGAACGCUGGCGGCGUGCUUAACACAUGCAAGUCGAACGGAAAGGCCCUGCUUUUGUGGGGUGCUCGAGUGGCGAACGGGUGAGUAACACGUGAGUAACCUGCCCUUGACUUUGGGAUAACUUCAGGAAACUGGGGCUAAUACCGGAUAGGAGCUCCUGCUGCAUGGUGGGGGUUGGAAAGUUUCGGCGGUUGGGGAUGGACUCGCGGCUUAUCAGCUUGUUGGUGGGGUAGUGGCUUACCAAGGCUUUGACGGGUAGCCGGCCUGAGAGGGUGACCGGCCACAUUGGGGCUGAGAUAACGCCCCAAGUUCUUCGGGGGGCAGGAGGGGGGGAAAUUGGCCAAUGGGCGGAAACCCGGAGCAGCAACCCCCCGUGGGGGAUGACGGCCUUUGGGGUGGAAACCCCUUUCCCCUGGGGAGAAGCGGGGGGGGCGGGAAUGGGUAAAAAAGGCCCGGCUAACUACGGG
rnacentral:rRNA from 1 species